rnacentral:rRNA from 1 species
GGGCGUAAGAGCUCGUAGGCGGCUUGUCACGUCGGAUGUGAAAGCCCGGGGCUUAACCCCGGGUCUGCAUUCGAUACGGGCAGGCUAGAGUUCGGUAGGGGAGAUCGGAAUUCCUGGUGUAGCGGUGAAAUGCGCAGAUAUCAGGAGGAACACCGGUGGCGAAGGCGGAUCUCUGGGCCGAUACUGACGCUGAGGAGCGAAAGCGUGGGGAGCGAACAGGAUUAGAUACCCUGGUAGUCCACGCCGUAAACGUUGGGAACUAGGUGUGGGCGACAUUCCACGUCGUCCGUGCCGCAGCUAACGCAUUAAGUUCCCCGCCUGGGGAGUACGGCCGCAAGGCUAGAACUCAGAGGAAUUGACGGGGGUCCG